rnacentral:rRNA from 1 species
AACCUGCCUCUUAGCGGGGGAUAACUAUUGGAAACGAUAGCUAAUACCGCAUAAAAGACGAUAUCGCAUGAUAUUGAUUUGAAAGGUGCAAAUGCAUCACUAAGAGAUGGACCUGCGUUGUAUUAGCUAGUUGGUGAGGUAACGGCUCACCAAGGCAACGAUACAUAGCCGACCUGAGAGGGUGAUCGGCCACACUGGGACUGAGACACGGCCCAGACUCCUACGGGAGGCAGCAGUAGGGAAUCUUCGGCAAUGGGGGCAACCCUGACCGAGCAACGCCGCGUGAGUGAAGAAGGUUUUCGGAUCGUAAAGCUCUGUUGUAAGAGAAGAACGAGUGUGAGAGUGGAAAGUUCACACUGUGACGGUAACUUACCAGAAAGGGACGGCUAACUACGUGCCAGCAGCCGCGGUAAUACGUAGGUCCCGAGCGUUAUCCGGAUUUAUUGGGCGUAAAGCGAGCGCAGGCGGUUAGAUAAGUCUGAAGUUAAAGGCUGUGGCUUAACCAUAGUACGCUUUGGAAACUGUUUAACUUGAGUGCAGAAGGGGAGGGUGGAAUUCCAUGUGUAGCGGUGAAAUGCGUAGAUAUAUGGAGGAACACCGGUGGCGAAAGCGGCUCUCUGGUCUGUAACUGACGCUGAGGCUCGAAAGCGUGGGGAGCAAACAGG